GGGGGUGCCCCGGAUUCGAUUGCCGGUGAGCGAAAGGAUAAGCACGUCGCAGACGGAGUGCCUGCGUAAAAACAUUCCACUAAAUAUAAAUGCAGAUAGAAAUGCAAACUACGCUCUUGCAGCGUAACUUCGUUUUUUAACGAAACGUCGCGCCCGAUUUAUCCGUCGGUCGGGGUCGCGGCGUCAUCAAGACGGAACACUCUUUUUUCAAUCGGAAGGUGUUGGGAUAAGAGUAUUCAGCCUUCUGCGUUUUUCAAAGCGUGUUUACCCGCGUUGAAAAGUCAAGAAAUAAUAGAUAAACUAAGCGUGUAGAAAGUUUUUUGGCAGCCGAGUAAGACGUGAGUUCAACUCUCACCACCUCCACCA
rnacentral:tmRNA from 1 species